rnacentral:rRNA from 1 species
UACGUAGGGGGCGAGCGUUGUCCGGAUUUAUUGGGCGUAAAGAGCUCGUAGGCGGUUGGGUAAGUCGGGUGUGAAAACUCAGGGCUCAACUCUGAGACGCCACUCGAUACUACUCUGACUCGAGUCCGGUAGGGGAGCGUGGAAUUCCCGGUGUAGCGGUGAAAUGCGCAGAUAUCGGGAGGAACACCAGUGGCGAAGGCGGCGCUCUGGGCCGGAACUGACGCUGAGGAGCGAAAGCGUGGGUAGCAAACAGG